UACGGGGGGAGCAAGCGUUGUUCGGAUUUACUGGGCGUAAAGGGCGCGUAGGCGGCGUGACAAGUCACUUGUGAAAUCUCCGGGCUUAACUCGGAGCGGCCAAGUGAUACUGUCGUGCUAGAGUGCGGAAGGGGCUACUGGAAUUCUCGGUGUAGCGGUGAAAUGCGUAGAUAUCGAGAGGAACACCUGCGGCGAAGGCGGGUAGCUGGGCCGACACUGACGCUGAGACGCGAAAGCGUGGGGAGCAAACAGG
rnacentral:rRNA from 1 species